GGUCAAGCGAAUAAGUGCAUGUGGUGGAUGCCUUGGCGAUCACAGGCGAUGAAGGACGUAGUAGCUUGCGAAAAGCUGCGGGGAGCUGGCAAACGAGCUUUGAUCCGCAGAUGUCCGAAUGGGGAAACCCGGCCCGUAUGGGUCAUCCCUUGCUGAAUACAUAGGCAAGGGAGGCGAACGCAGUGAACUGAAACAUCUAAGUAGCUGCAGGAAAAGAAAUCAACCGAGAUUCCCAAAGUAGUGGCGAGCGAAAUGGGAACAGCCUUGUACUCUUUAGCAGUAUUGUUAGCGGAACGGAAUGGAAAGUCCGGCCAUAGUGGGUGAUAGCCCCGUACGCGAAAACAGUAUUGUGGAACUAGGUGUACGACAAGUAGGGCGGGACACGUGAAAUCCUGUCUGAAGAUGGGGGGACCAUCCUCCAAGGCUAAAUACUCGUGAUCGACCGAUAGUGAACCAGUACCGUGAGGGAAAGGCGAAAAGAACCCCGGGAGGGGAGUGAAAUAGAUCCUGAAACCGCAUGCAUACAAACAGUCGGAGCCUGGAAACGGGUGACGGCGUACCUUUUGUAUAAUGGGUCAGCGACUUACAUUCAGUGGCAAGCUUAACCGAUUAGGGAAGGCGUAGCGAAAGCGAGUCCGAAUAGGGCGUUCAGUCGCUGGGUGUAGACCCGAAACCAAGUGAUCUAUCCAUGGCCAGGUUGAAGGUGCGGUAACACGUACUGGAGGACCGAACCCACUAACGUUGAAAAGUUAGGGGAUGAGCUGUGGAUAGGGGUGAAAGGCUAAACAAACUUGGAAAUAGCUGGUUCUCUCCGAAAACUAUUUAGGUAGUGCCUCGUGUCUCACCUUCGGGGGUAGAGCACUGUCAUGGUUGGGGGGUCUAUUGCUGAUUACCCCGCCAUAGCAAACUCCGAAUACCGAAGAGUGCAAUCACGGGAGACAGACAUCGGGUGCUAACGUCCGGUGUCAAGAGGGAAACAACCCAGACCGCCAGCUAAGGUCCCUAAGAUUGGCUAAGUGGGAAACGAAGUGGGAAGGCUAAAACAGUCAGGAGGUUGGCUUAGAAGCAGCCACCCUUUAAAGAAAGCGUAAUAGCUCACUGAUCGAGUCGUCCUGCGCGGAAGAUGUAACGGGGCUAAGCCAGUCACCGAAGCUGCGGAUGCACGUAAGUGCAUGGUAGGAGAGCGUUCUGUAAGCCUGUGAAGGUGUCUUGUAAAGGAUGCUGGAGGUAUCAGAAGUGCGAAUGCUGACAUGAGUAGCGAUAAAGGGGGUGAAAGGCCCCCUCGCCGUAAGCCCAAGGUUUCCUACGCAACGUUCAUCGGCGUAGGGUGAGUCGGCCCCUAAGGCGAGGCAGAGAUGCGUAGCUGAUGGGAAGCAGGUUAAUAUUCCUGCACCGUCGUAUGAUGCGAUGGGGGGACGGAUCGCGGAAGGUUGUCCGGGUGUUGGAAGUCCCGGUCCCUACAUUGGAGAUGGCACUUAGGCAAAUCCGGGUGCGUGAUUCAAGGGUGUGGGGCGAGCGACGUUAGGUCGCGAAGCAAUUGGAAGUGGUUCCAAGAAAAGCCUCUAAGCUUCAGUCAUACGAGACCGUACCGCAAACCGACACAGGUGGGCGAGAUGAGUAUUCUAAGGCGCUUGAGAGAACUCGGGAGAAGGAACUCGGCAAAUUGGUACCGUAACUUCGGGAUAAGGUACGCCCUUGUAGUUUGACUGGCUCGCGCCAGAAGGAUGAAGGGGUUGCAAUAAAAUGGUGGCUGCGACUGUUUAAUAAAAACACAGCACUCUGCAAACACGAAAGUGGACGUAUAGGGUGUGACGCCUGCCCGGUGCCGGAAGAUUAAAUGAUGGGGUGCAAGCUCUUGAUUGAAGUCCCGGUAAACGGCGGCCGUAACUAUAACGGUCCUAAGGUAGCGAAAUUCCUUGUCGGGUAAGUUCCGACCUGCACGAAUGGCGUAACGAUGGCCACACUGUCUCCUCCCGAGACUCAGCGAAGUUGAAGUGUUUGUGAUGAUGCAAUCUCCCCGCGGCUAGACGGAAAGACCCCAUGAACCUUUACUGUAGCUUUGCAUUGGACUUUGAACCGAUCUGUGUAGGAUAGGUGGGAGGCUUUGAAACCGGGACGCUAGUUUCGGUGGAGCCGACCUUGAAAUACCACCCUGGUUUGUUUGAGGUUCUAACCUUGGCCCGUGAAUCCGGGUCGGGGACAGUGCAUGGUAGGCAGUUUGACUGGGGCGGUCUCCUCCCAAAGUGUAACGGAGGAGUUCGAAGGUACGCUUGGUACGGUCGGACAUCGUACCUAAAGUGCAAUGGCAAAAGCGUGCUUAACUGCGAGACCGACAAGUCGAGCAGGUGCGAAAGCAGGACAUAGUGAUCCGGUGGUUCUGUAUGGAAGGGCCAUCGCUCAACGGAUAAAAGGUACUCUGGGGAUAACAGGCUGAUACCGCCCAAGAGUUCAUAUCGACGGCGGUGUUUGGCACCUCGAUGUCGGCUCAUCUCAUCCUGGGGCUGUAGCCGGUCCCAAGGGUAUGGCUGUUCGCCAUUUAAAGAGGUACGUGAGCUGGGUUUAAAACGUCGUGAGACAGUUUGGUCCCUAUCUGCCGUGGGCGUUGGAAUCUUGACGGGGGCUGCUCCUAGUACGAGAGGACCGGAGUGGACGUACCGCUGGUGUACCUGUUGUCUCGCCAGAGGCAUCGCAGGGUAGCUAUGUACGGAAGAGAUAACCGCUGAAAGCAUCUAAGCGGGAAACUCGCCUGAAGAUGAGGAUUCCCUGGAGACUUGAUCUCCCUGAAGGGUCGUUCGAGACCAGGACGUUGAUAGGCUGGGUGUGGAAGCGCAGUAAUGCGUUCAGCUAACCAGUACUAAUUGCCCGUGCGGCUUGAUCCU
rfam:Ralstonia solanacearum GMI1000 chromosome complete sequence